GGUUCAUGGCAUUCAACGUCUUGGGUGUGAAAUUUCUUCCAACGACAAGUCUGCAUCCUUAGCGUUCACCAACGAAAAAUUCAGGUUACAUUAUCGCAAUUUUGUCUGUUUCAAGGCAUUUUUGAGAUCCGUGUAACGUAGCUGGAAAUUGUUCGAGGAAAAACGGAGGAACAGGAUAAUUCGACAAACUCCUCUUUAAGGGUCUAUUCAGCAGGCGGAACGCGUGCACGCUCGUGUUUCGCGGGCUGGAAAUCCACGGAAGAACGGGUACAAGAGUUGCACAGAUCUAUGUGUAUAAAUGGAGCAAAUGUCGUGAAAGGAAGUACCUGGCUGGCAGAAGGAUCGGUGGUACUGUUGAGGACAGAGGGAAAAUCAUCUAAGAGAAGAUGGCUCGCGGUGGCGAAACGAGCCAAGUUCCAGGAGGAUGGAAGAUGGCGAUUUAGCUGCAGAAUGUUGGAGAUCGUAAAUCAUAGUAGGAAAUUGCGGUGCAUCGGAUGGGAGCCUUUGGAUAACGAAAAUUCGAUAAGAGAAUGAAUUCGGUCGAUUAAGAAAGAAGAAACUAAUUUAUUAACCGAAGCGAAUAACGUUCGAAGACAGCUCGAUAUCGAAUGCGUUGUGCCAGUAUCCAUAAGCGAAAGCUUUCGCGUUCCUUGAAGUAUGAGCCUCUUGGGAGGUCAUAGGCUUGUGGAAGGGUUGAAAUGUUACGUGUAAGUUGGGUAAGUGGUGUUAGCAACGUGUGUACACACCCUGGCGUAUGGAACCGAAAUUCUGUAGGACUCAGCUUCGAACCUUCAACGUAUACGUAUGCUUCUCCGCGUCUAUGCAAAGUCUGCCUAAUGCUCGCCAUGCAUCACUGCAAUUGCGUGCACCGUCACCUCUGCAGCCGCAGCUCUAUUACGCGAGGAAGGCUGGUAAGGAGACGAUAAAAAAUUGAAGAGACGUGACCAUUUUAUUUGGGUUGAGAAGAAAAAAUGAAAUGAAAUUUUUGCACGAUGUCCUAAUUCAAUUGCCGUGGACUGCAGCCUGAAAAAUAUGUAAAGCAACGUUUCAAAGGACAGAAUUUGCGAAAUUUUAAAAGACUACUGUAACAGCUAAUGAGGAAUUCUCUACGUGUCCGGUAGAUCGUUGUAUGGGCAGAUUUUGACCACGAGAGAUAAGCUUCCAGGAGAGAUGGACCUGCAUCUCGAGAGGGAGUUUUGCAUACUGUAGGGCAUGUAUCCGUUCUCAGAGAUGAAGGAGGUCGCAAGCUGUUCAAUUUAUAAUUUCCUUUGGGGAUCAGAGAAGCAAACGACAAGAGGAAGUUUCCACGGAGAACGGCCAACUAUUUCCAGCGACAGUUAAGUCUUCCAUCGGGAUUACCGUAGUUUCCACUUUACCUGACCUACCGCAAAACUCUAUUGACACAGCUACAAUUUCCUUUCUCGAGGAGAACAUGCAGAAAUCAUCUCUAUCCUUGCGGUGAUUACAGAUAAAAGAAGACUGGACAUUCCUUUGUUUUCGAGGGAUUUUGGAGGUCCCAGACACCCCGGUGACGUUAGACGGUAUGACCAGUCCUUCCUAUUUCACCAGACCUACUCCACCUCGCCUUGACAACUGAAAAACACAAGUUUUACAUUCUUUAAUUUUCUUCCUUAUACAAAUCAGUCAAAAUCGGCACUAGACCGAAAUAUUAUUAAAAUAAUUGUUUAACAAACUUGUAUUUACUUCAUACGUCUUGGUAAAUAAAUCACUUUAAAAUAGCAAAUGACUUUUUAUUCAAAUUACCCAAUUUCCUUUCUGAAUUAUUAAUUAAAUG